CAAGAGCCCCGACGGCCCCCGAGACGGUCUCCAGUCACAGUUGAGACGCGGAUAAGGUGCUUCUUGUCGCUGGAUUUACCAUCUGAUUUUCGUACCCGGGAUUCGCGAGAAGUCAUCUGCAAGCAUGAAUAAGCUGUGGCUCUGCUUGCUGGCGGCCUUGGUGGGACUGGCCGCGGCCGGCGACAUGAUGCGCAAGAGCAUCGUCUUCGACAAGGCGACGCCGGAUGUCUUCUAUUGUCCCAUCGACAAACCGACUUCGUUCGAGAAAAUGUUCGUGAGAAGUCGCCCGCUCAAGAAGCUGUGCGAAUUCGACGGCGAAGGCUUGCCCGAGGACUACAAGAGCGACUGCUAUAACGACGUCGAUGAAAGCGAAUACGCUUGCAAGGAGAAGAAGCGUAUUUUGAUGCGCAAAGAGAGUGAUGAUGCCGAACAGGAGGGGCUGCCAGUGGAGUCAUCCAACAAGGCUAACAGUGUAUAAGAAUGGUAUCACCCACUAACAUCCACGACUCAUCCAUAUCACCCAAAAUCAGCUUCGUCUCAACCCUCCUGGCAGUGAGAACGCCUUCUAAGAUUAUCGAUAGUACUAAAUGAAACAAUCAUUGUUAUUGGUUACUUAACUGUUCUGUGGCAAAACUCACGCCACGAAUAUGAGAGUCGGCAGUCUAAAUUUCCUCGAAAGUAAAUGAAAGGAAAGGGUAGGCCAGCUUGACUUUACGGUGAGUGAAGCCUUGGUCACUGGAGUGACAUUCUUGAGUUAUGAAGGUUUGUGAAGAUCAGUGACUGGACUUCAUGAAUUAUUAACCUGUUAUUAUAUA